rnacentral:lncRNA from 1 species
UGGAAAAUUUGUACAUUUCUUAGAGUGGAACUAAUUUCAACCCCUUCAUUCUGCAGAUGGGGCUCACUGCCCCCUGAGGGGCAGUGAGUCAGUGGGUU